rnacentral:rRNA from 1 species
CUAUAAUGCAAGUCGAGCGAUGAUUGAAGAUAGCUUGCUAUUUUCAUGAAGAGCGGCGAACGGGUGAGUAACGCGUGGGAAAUCUGCCGAGUAGCGGGGGACAACGUUUGGAAGCGAACGCUAAUACCGCAUAACAAUGAGAAUCGCAUGAUUCUUAUUUGAAAGAAGCAAUUGCUUCACUACUUGAUGAUCCCGCGUUGUAUUAGCUAGUUGGUAGUGUAAAGGACUACCAAGGCGAUGAUACAUAGCCGACCUGAGAGGGUGAUCGGCCACACUGGGACUGAGACACGGCCCAGACUCCUACGGGAGGCAGCAGUAGGGAAUCUUCGGCAAUGGGGGCAACCCUGACCGAGCAACGCCGCGUGAGUGAAGAAGGUUUUCGGAUCGUAAAACUCUGUUGUUAGAGAAGAACGUUAAGUAGAGUGGAAAAUUACUUAAGUGACGGUAUCUAACCAGAAAGGGACGGCUAACUACGUGCCAGCAGCCGCGGUAAUACGUAGGUCCCAAGCGUUGUCCGGAUUUAUUGGGCGUAAAGCGAGCGCAGGUGGUUUCUUAAGUCUGAUGUAAAAGGCAGUGGCUCAACCAUUGUGUGCAUUGGAAACUGGGAGACUUGAGUGCAGGAGAGGAGAGUGGAAUUCCAUGUGUAGCGGUGAAAUGCGUAGAUAUAUGGAGGAACACCGGAGGCGAAAGCGGCUCUCUGGCCUGUAACUGACACUGAGGCUCGAAAGCGUGGGGAGCAAACAGGAUUAGGUACCCUGGUAGUCCACGCCGUAAACGAUGAGUGCUAGCUGUAGGGAGCUAUAA